GAACGAGUUGGAAAGCUUAGCCAGAGACUGUGAUAGCCAGGUAUGCGAAAACGACGCUGACCUUAUUCUGUAUUCUCGAGUAGGUCGGGGCACGAGAAACCCUGAUUGAAUCCGGCUGGACCACCAGCCAAGGCUAAAUAUAGUAUAUGAUCGAUAGUGAACUAGUACGGUGACGGAAAGGUGAAAAGAACCCCGGGAGGGGAGUGAAAUAGAACCUGAAAUUUUGUGCCUACAAGGAGUCGGAGCCCAGCACCUUUGAAAUCGAGUGAUACAAUGUAGGCGGAUGUUCUACGUGUACGUUUUGCAAAGUGAUCGGGAAUCAGAUCAAAUUUACUUCGGUCAGACUAGUGACUUAAGACGACGUCUCUCGGAGCAUAAUUCUGGCAAGGAUACUUAUACCAAGAUAUAUGCGCCAUGGAAGGUUGUCUACUAUGAAGCCUAUUCAUCACGUAAGCUAGCAAUGGCCCGUGAGAGGCAGUUGAAAGCUUAUGGACAAGCCAGGACUGCUCUGGAGAAGAGACUAAAUUUGAUCUGAUACUCGAUUUCAAAGGUGCUGGGUGACGGCGUGCUUUUUGUAGAACGAUCCAGCGAGUUAAUUUUUACGGCGAGGUUAAGUCAGAUGAUGAAGCCACAGUGAAAGCGAGCAUUAACAGUGCGAUUUAGUCGUAAGGAUUAGACCCGAAACCAGGUGACCUAACCAUGAGCAGGUUGAAGCAACCUUAAUCGGUUGUGGAGGACCGAACCAGUGUAUAUUGCAAAAUGCUUGGAUGACUUGUGGUUAGCGGUGAAAUGCCAAUCGAACUUGGAGAUAGCUGGUUCUCCGCGAAAUAGUUAUAGGACUAGCGUCGUGUGAUAGCUUACGGGGGUAGAGCUCUGUCAAGAGAUAGGGGGAGCAAUCCUACCUACUCUUAAUAAACUACGAAUACCGUAUGUCUGUAUCACGGCAGUUAGAACGUCGGUGCUAAGAUCGGCGCUCAAAAGGGAAACAGCCCAGACCAUCAUCUAAGGUCCCCAAAUUUACGCUAAGUGGGAAACAAGGUGGAAUUUCUUAAACAGCUAGGAUGUUGGCUUAGAAGCAGCCAUUCAUUUAAAGAGUGCGUAACAGCUCACUAGUCAAGAGAUUCUGCGUGGAAGAUAUAACGGGGCUAAGCGUAAUACCGAAGAUAUGGAUUGCAAUUUAUUGCAGUGGUAGCGGAGCGUUCCUAUCGGCAGUGAAGCCGGACUGUUAAGUACCGGUGGAGCGUUAGGAAGUGAGAAUGCUGGAACGAGUAACCAUAAGACAGGUGAGAAUCCUGUCGGCCGAAAGAGCGAGGUUUCCUGGGCUAUGGUAAUCAUCCCAGGGUUAGUCGGGCCUAAGCCGAGGCGUUUAGCGUAGGCGAUGGACAUCAGGUUAAUAUUCCUGAACUAGUCAAACUUUGUAUGCAGUUAGCGAUGAGAUAGGUGGAGCGGAUUCAUGGUUUAUCCGUUCAAGUGAUAGAGGAAUCUUGAUCGAGUAAAAGUGAACCUACGGGUUUACGAUUCCACUGAAGGCAUUGACCAGAAAAGCUGGCAUACGCAUGGGUUUGGCUACCCGUACCGCAAACCGACACAGGUGCUCGAGUCGAGGAGACUAAGGCUUACGAGAGAAUGAUUGCUAAGGAACUCGGCAAUACAGCGACCGUAACUUCGGAAUAAGGUCUGCCUACAUUUGUAGGCCGCAGCUAAAGAGCCCACGGAACUGUUUAUCAAAAACUCAGGUCUCUGCUAACACGAAAGUGGAUGUAUAGGGGCUGAAACCUGCCCGGUGCCGGAAGGUUAAGGGGAUUGCUUCACGGUGAAAACUGAAGCCCCGGUGAACGGCGGCGGUAACUAUAACCGUCCUAAGGUAGCGAAAUUCCUUGUCAGGU
rnacentral:rRNA from 1 species